rnacentral:misc_RNA from 1 species
GACUACUGGCAGGAUCAACCAGGUAGCAUUCCUCGCCGACGCCGAUCUCCGCACGAGCCGAGCCAAGAGCCUUCGCCGUUACGGGAACGAACGUCGUCCGCAUGAAGCGUAGAACGCUCUUUGAUUUCGGGGUAAAUAGAGGUCGAUGACCUCGUACCGCAUCGUUGUUCCGCAUCCGAGAGAACGAGCACCGCGAGAUGGGCCGCCGAGUACGGGCGCUGAGUGCGCGCAUAUCGUGGAUCACAUCGGGUGCUUCGGUGUCCACCCCGCACCGCAUCACCAAAAAGGGCGCAGCAGAAGGAGGAAGAGGGAUAUCGUGACAACAUCAUGCCUUCUCGAUAGGUAUACAACACAGGAAACCCAAGUCGGUCAAGGCAAUCCGCAACUUGAUCCAACAAUUGAAGAGGCGUGCACGAGAUGUCGUCGCUGCCCGAGCAGGGAACCGACAUGCCCAUACAAGCCAACCACCACUC